UACGUAGGGUGCGAGCGUUGUCCGGAUUUAUUGGGCGUAAAGAGCUCGUAGGCGGUCUGUCGCGUCGGCUGUGAAAACCCGGGGCUCAACCCCGGGCCUGCAGUCGAUACGGGCAGACUAGAGUGCGGUAGGGGAGACUGGAAUUCCUGGUGUAGCGGUGAAAUGCGCAGAUAUCAGGAGGAACACCGGUGGCGAAGGCGGGUCUCUGGGCCGUAACUGACGCUGGAGGAGCGAAAGCGUGGGGAGCGAACAGG
rnacentral:rRNA from 1 species